rnacentral:rRNA from 1 species
GACGAACGCUGGCGGCGUGCCUAAUACAUGCAAGUAGAACGCACAGUUUAUACCGUAGCUUGCUACACCAUAGACUGUGAGUUGCGAACGGGUGAGUAACGCGUAGGUAACCUGCCUGGUAGCGGGGGAUAACUAUUGGAAACGAUAGCUAAUACCGCAUAAUAUUAAUUAUUGCAUGAUAAUUAAUUGAAAGAUGCAAUUGCACCACUACCAGAUGGACCUGCGUUGUAUUAGCUAGUAGGGGAGGUAACGGCUCACCUAGGCGACGAUACAUAGCCGACCUGAGAGGGUGAUCGGCCACACUGGGACUGAGACACGGCCCAGACUCCUACGGGAGGCAGCAGUAGGGAAUCUUCGGCAAUGGACGAAAGUCUGACCGAGCAACGCCGCGUGAGUGAAGAAGGUUUUCGGAUCGUAAAGCUCUGUUGUAAGAGAAGAACGGGUGUGAGAGUGGAAAGUUCACACUGUGACGGUAUCUGACCAGAAAGGGACGGCUAACUACGUG